GCAUGAGCCACUGCGCCCGGCCCAGGAUUGUAUAUUUCAAAUAACUGUAGCAGCAGCAGCAGCAGCAGCAGGAGGAGAGUAUAGGAAUGUUACGUGGUUGGUUGUUCUAGGUGAAUGAAUAAGUUAGGAUUACCGCUCAUUCAUCCUGAAUAAUCUUAGCAUCUAGGGGCUUUGGUGUCUCUAGGCAAACUCCUUCUUUCCCUCCUCCAUGAAGGCGAAGCAAAGCUACUC
rnacentral:lncRNA from 10 species